GAUGAACGCUAGCUACAGGCUUAACACAUGCAAGUCGAGGGGAAACGACAUCGAAAGCUUGCUUUUGAUGGGCGUCGACCGGCGCACGGGUGAGUAACGCGUAUCCAACCUGCCCAUCACUUGGGGAUAACCUUGCGAAAGUAAGACUAAUACCCAAUGAUAUCUCUAGAAGACAUCUGAAAGAGAUUAAAGAUUUAUCGGUGAUGGAUGGGGAUGCGUCUGAUUAGCUUGUUGGCGGGGUAACGGCCCACCAAGGCAACGAUCAGUAGGGGUUCUGAGAGGAAGGUCCCCCACAUUGGAACUGAGACACGGUCCAAACUCCUACGGGAGGCAGCAGUGAGGAAUAUUGGUCAAUGGGCGAGAGCCUAAACCAGCCAAGUAGCGUGCAGGAAGACGGCCCUAUGGGUUGUAAACUGCUUUUAUAAGGGAAUAAAGUGAGAGUCGUGACUCUUUUUGUAUGUACCUUAUGAAUAAGGACCGGCUAAUUCCGUG
rnacentral:rRNA from 1 species